AGCUUUGUGCAGUGGCAUUAUCGUAGCCAAUGAGGUUUACCUGAGGUACGAUUAUUACUAAUUGAAGAGAAAAAAGAAUUUGUGGACUUACUUUUAAACCACUACAUGUUAUUUCCAAUAUUCCGCUGUUAAAGCAUUAA